AAGACUAUAGACCUGCGGAGUACCUGCGGAGGGAUCAUUAACGUGUCUAUGAUGGGGUGCGGAGCGCCCUGCUCCGGUCGAACGGCCGUGCAGUGGGUGCGCCGCCCCCGUCCCACCUCACAAACCCACUGUGAACAUUCACCGGUGGAGGGGGCUCGGUCUGCGCCGUGUCCCCGAUGCCGAAUACCCAAACUCCAGCUGCAAAGAACGUCGUGCGGACUCGGUGCCGCCUAAAACAUG
rnacentral:misc_RNA from 1 species